ACAGGCGCAAGCGAGCAGUGUGCGAGCGAGCUGGGCCAACUUCUGGCUGGCGGCUAGUUGGCGAGGGUGCACGAGCUUGGGCCGGUAGCGACUUGGCGGCUAGCUAGGCCGAAGCGUAGCGCGACCGAGCUGGCGAGCGAGGCCACAUGCGGGCGAAGGUGGGUCACAUGUGCCGAAGGUUAGUGGGCCGGCCUGGUUAGGGUGUUAGGUUAGUUUAGGCAAAAUUCAAACAACACUCAAACAUGAACUCCAAAGAAAAUCCAAAAGGUCCAAAUCAGGCCACACAAAUUUUUAAAUGGAAUUUAGGGAUGAGAGAAAAAUUAACUAGCUUUUCAAACUAGCACACAAUUCAAACAAAAAGUUUUAAAUUUUUUCAAAUUUCACUCAUACAAAUAUUACAAAUUUUUUGGAACAUUACAGUCUUCCCCCUAAGAGAAUCUCGUCCUCAAGAUUUAAUCUUCGACCUCCUCCUCAAACAAAUGUGGAAACUCCUUCCUCAAAUCGGC
rnacentral:lncRNA from 1 species